GUCCGUGACUAGUCUGAGAGUACGUUGACUCUGGCAGAGACACGCUGGCGGCGUGCUUAACACAUGCAAGUCGAACGGAGUACCCUCGAAAGAGAUUUCGGUCAAUGGAGAGGACUACUUAGUGGCGGACGGGUGAGUAACGCGUGAGGAACCUGCCUUUCAGAGGGGGACAACAGUUGGAAACGACUGCUAAUACCGCAUAACGUACGGGUAUCGCAUGGUACUGGUACCAAAGAUUUAUCGCUGAGAGAUGGCCUCGCGUCUGAUUAGCUAGUUGGUAGGGUAACGGCCUACCAAGGCGACGAUCAGUAGCCGGACUGAGAGGUUGGCCGGCCACAUUGGGACUGAGAUACGGCCCAGACUCCUACGGGAGGCAGCAGUGGGGAAUAUUGGGCAAUGGGCGCAAGCCUGACCCAGCAACGCCGCGUGAAGGAAGAAGGCUUUCGGGUGUAAACUUCUUUUGACAGGGAAGAGCAGAAGACGGUACCUGUCGAAUAAGCCACGGCUAACUACGUA
rnacentral:rRNA from 1 species